CCCAAACUUGCAACAAAAAGCACAGCCAUCGGACACAGGGAGGCUGCGCUCGGUGCCUUCCUGUGAUGAAGUCAGGCCGGCGAGAAUGUCGAGAGCCCAGCGCAACGCGCGUCCAUCCCUCCUUGCCGCUCUCCGCGUGUGCCGCAGCUGUGGCGGCGACAGAGGGAAGGGAGGCAGGCGCGGUGGUGGGGUCUGCAGCUCGUCGUCUUUUCGCGGCGUGUGUGUGUGUGUGUGCGACACUUAGCCGCAAACAAAGG
rnacentral:misc_RNA from 1 species